CGGGGUGAGUAACGCGUGAGCAAUCUGCCUUUAAGAGGGGGAUAACAGUCGGAAACGGCUGCUAAUACCGCAUAAAGCAUUAAAUUCGCAUGUUUUUGGUGCCAAAGGAGCAAUCCGCUUUUAGAUGAGCUCGCGUCUGAUUAGCUGGUUGGCGGGGUAACGGCCCACCAAGGCGACGAUCAGUAGCCGGACUGAGAGGUUGAACGGCCACAUUGGGACUGAGACACGGCCCAG
rnacentral:rRNA from 1 species